GGGGGCAUUUGUGGAGCCAAAAAUAUUCACAAGGCGACACGUGGGUUUUUUGGACAAAAAGGACAAAAAUACCCCCGAGGCAUACCGGGUCUCCUACACGCGAGCAGUGGAGAAUUAUCCAUCAACCAAGUCAGAAGUACCCAAAAUGGGUAACAAUUCAAAACCUAUUUCAUAUAUGUUUUUACCUCAUUUUUUCCUUAUUCAAUUAGCCAUUUAUUUCAAACAUUCCAUAACCAUCAAAACAUUCCUUUAUGUUUAAAUUAGCCAAUUAAUCAUAAUAAAUUGGCUAUUUAAACCUAAAUUAAACCUAAAAACCCUAGCCACCUCCUAACUCUAUAAAUAGGCACCUAUUCUCACCAAAAAGCUAAUUCCAACACUUUGGCAAAAAUCCCAAAAUUCUCUAAACACUAUUUCUCUCUAA
rnacentral:lncRNA from 1 species